UGCAGUCGACGGUGAAGCGGAGCUUGCUCUGCUGGAUCAGUGGCGAACGGGUGAGUAACACGUGAGCAAUCUGCCCCUGACUCUGGGAUAAGCGCUGGAAACGGCGUCUAAUACCGGAUACGAGCUGCGAAGGCAUCUUCAGCAGCUGGAAAGAAUUUCGGUCAGGGAUGAGCUCGCGGCCUAUCAGCUUGUUGGUGAGGUAACGGCUCACCAAGGCGUCGACGGGUAGCCGGCCUGAGAGGGUGACCGGCCACACUGGGACUGAGACACGGCCCAGACUCCUACGGGAGGCAGCAGUGGGGAAUAUUGCACAAUGGGCGCAAGCCUGAUGCAGCAACGCCGCGUGAGGGACGACGGCCUUCGGGUUGUAAACCUCUUUUAGCAGGGAAGAAGCGAAAGUGACGGUACCUGCAGAAAAAGCGCCGGCUAACUACGUGCCAGCAGCCGCGGUAAUACGUAGGGCGCAAGCGUUAUCCGGAAUUAUUGGGCGUAAAGAGCUCGUAGGCGGUCUGUCGCGUCUGCUGUGAAAACCCGAGGCUCAACCUCGGGCCUGCAGUGGGUACGGGCAGACUAGAGUGCGGUAGGGGAGAUUGGAAUUCCUGGUGUAGCGGUGGAAUGCGCAGAUAUCAGGAGGAACACCGAUGGCGAAGGCAGAUCUCUGGGCCGUAACUGACGCUGAGGAGCGAAAGGGUGGGGAGCAAACAGGCUUAGAUACCCUGGUAGUCCACCCCGUAAACGUUGGGAACUAGUUGUGGGGACCAUUCCACGGUUUCCGUGACGCAGCUAACGCAUUAAGUUCCCCGCCUGGGGAGUACGGCCGCAAGGCUAAAACUCAAAGGAAUUGACGGGGACCCGCACAAGCGGCG
rnacentral:rRNA from 1 species